UACGUAGGGGGCGAGCGUUGUCCGGAGUUACUGGGCGUAAAGCGCACGCAGGCGGUCUGCUAAGUUUGGAGUGACAGUUGGUGGCUUAACUGCCAAAGUGCUUCGAAACUGACAGACUUGAGGGCUUCAGAGGGACACGGAAUCCGGGUGGAGUGGUGAAAUGCGUAGAGAUCCGGAGGAACACCAAAGGCGAAGGCAGUGUCCUGGGGAGUACCUGACGCUCAGGUGCGAAAGCCAGGGGAGCGAACGGG
rnacentral:rRNA from 1 species